rnacentral:rRNA from 1 species
UGCAGUCGACGAACUCUUCGGAGUUAGUGGCGGACGGGUGAGUAACACGUGGGAACGUGCCUUUAGGUUCGGAAUAACUCAGGGAAACUUGUGCUAAUACCGAAUGUGCCCUUCGGGGGAAAGAUUUAUCGCCUUUAGAGCGGCCCGCGUCUGAUUAGCUAGUUGGUGAGGUAAAGGCUCACCAAGGCGACGAUCAGUAGCUGGUCUGAGAGGAUGAUCAGCCACAUUGGGACUGAGACACGGCCCAAACUCCUACGGGAGGCAGCAGUGGGGAAUCUUGCGCAAUGGGCGAAAGCCUGACGCAGCCAUGCCGCGUGAAUGAUGAAGGUCUUAGGAUUGUAAAAUUCUUUCACCGGGGACGAUAAUGACGGUACCCGGAGAAGAAGCCCCGGCUAACUUCGUGCCAGCAGCCGCGGUAAUACGAAGGGGGCUAGCGUUGCUCGGAAUUACUGGGCGUAAAGGGAGCGUAGGCGGACAUUUAAGUCAGGGGUGAAAUCCCGGGGCUCAACCUCGGAAUUGCCUUUGAUACUGGGUGUCUUGAGUAUGAGAGAGGUGUGGGAACUCCGAGUGUAGAGGUGAAAUUCGUAGAUAUUCGGAAGAACACCAG